rnacentral:lncRNA from 1 species
AUCCUUGAUUAAUAAUAACAUAAUAAGAUAAAUAACUUACUUCAGAAAUCCCUUAUGGAAUCGCUUACUAUUUCUGAAUUUCAAAAAAGAGAUAAAAAAUAGCUGGGGAUAUUAUGUGGUUUAUUAGUAUUCUAAAUCUUAGUUGGUAUUCAAAAUAUCCGAUUCAAGUAGACAAAGAGAUGGUUGAAUCAAAAUUUUUUGUUUAA